UGGGGAAUAUUGCACAAUGGGCGCAAGCCUGAUGCAGCCAUGCCGCGUGUGUGAAGAAGGCCUUCGGGUUGUAAAGCACUUUCAGCGAGGAGGAAGGUGGUGAGCUUAAUACGCUCAUCAAUUGACGUUACUCGCAGAAGAAGCACCGGCUAACUCCGUGCCAGCAGCCGCGGUAAUACGGAGGGUGCAAGCGUUAAUCGGAAUUACUGGGCGUAAAGCGCACGCAGGCGGUUUGUUAAGUCAGAUGUGAAAUCCCCGGGCUCAACCUGGGAACUGCAUUUGAAACUGGCAAGCUAGAGUCUCGUAGAGGGGGGUAGAAUUCCAGGUGUAGCGGUGAAAUGCGUAGAGAUCUGGAGGAAUACCGGUGGCGAAGGCGGCCCCCUGGACGAAGACUGACGCCCAGGUGCGAAAGCGUGGGGAGCAAAACAGGAUUAGAUACCCUGGUAGUCCACGCUGUAAACGAUGUCGAUUUUGGAGGUUGUGCCCUUGAGGCGUGGCUUCCGGAGCUAACGCGUUAAAGUCGACCGCCUGGGGAGU
rnacentral:rRNA from 1 species